rnacentral:tRNA from 1 species
GCCCCUGUAGCCCAAUAGGAACGAGGCGCCAAACUUAGAAUUUGGAGGUUGCAGGUUCAAGUCCUGCCAGGGGUA